rnacentral:rRNA from 1 species
GACGAACCGUCCUAACGUUGUUCGGAUUCACUGGGCUUAAAGGGCGCGUAGGCGGGUGAGCAAGUCCGGGGUGAAAUCUUUCGGCUUAACCGGAAAAUGGCCUUGGAUACUGCUUGUCUCGAGGGAGGUAGGGGUGUGUGGAACUUCCGGUGGAGCGGUGAAAUGCGUUGAUAUCGGAAGGAACGCCGGUGGCGAAAGCGACGCACUGGACCUCUUCUGACGCUGAGGCGCGAAAGCUAGGGUAGCGAACGGG